rnacentral:rRNA from 1 species
AUGGAGAGGGUAAACUACUCACUGAUGAAGAGUUUCCUGUCUAGUCUAGUUGCUGAGCUGCAAAGGAGUAGCUCAACAACCGAGCUGUGUGUGUGUGUAGAUAUGUGUCAUAGUGCUGAUGCUUGGUAUUCCUUCAUGUAUACUGAUGUGUCUGAUGUUUUCGAGAAGAAAUUAAAGGGCCUCGGAGCUGGAAAAGGAGCAGGAGAUGAUCCCAUCCGAGCUGUCUUGCUGUACGCUGACUCGCCAACUGAUCAGCCAGCCUAUAUAAAUCCUGUGGCCAGCGAGCAGCCGGCCAAAGAUCUCCUCCGCCGACGUGGCACGGACCGAGCCAUCGCCAUCGUCGGCAUUACUGCUCUCUCCACCCGCGUAUCACAUCGAAGAGAGCCGUCCAUCAAGAGAUCAACAACCGAGGAGGCUGAGGUCCUGCUAACCGCUUUGACUGCUCCCCUUGCGUUUUUGCCCUUCUGGCACAUCUCCGCCCAGUCAGCGCCGUUUAACCGCAAACGACGCGUUACUUUGGACACCGCUUGCCCCCGUGCUCACUCACACUCUCUCAUUCCCCACUCUUGCUCUCUCUUUUUCCCUCUGACGAACCCUAAAUUGCGGCACCGAGCGGCGGGUGGCCAGAUCCAUUGCAAGGUGAUGGGGGAGAGUGGAGAAAGCGUCGGCGGUGGCCGCUGCGGUGGUAGGAACAACACACCUCCAAUGCAGCGCGGAGAAGGCGGCUGUGGUGGCACCAACGGCGAUAAGGGAAGCUCCUGUGGCGGAUCUGCACCAACGGCGAGAAGCGGUGGCGGAUCUGCACCAAUGGCGACAAGCGGGGGCAGAUCUGCAUGGCAAAUUCCCCCAGGGUUGGUAUUGGACCUGAUUUGCUCAGUUUUUUCACAGGAGAUUUACUUGGAUUUAGGAACUAGAGGUCAGAGAUGUGUGAACACAUCUAGUUCCAGGCCAUCUGCAUCCAGAACUAGGGCUAGCAGUAGAACACCAUGUGCUCCUAGAACACCAAGUGCUUAUGCAACUGCAAGUGUCAAUGAAUACCAAGAAAACCAAAAGAAGCCACUUGAUCCUGUUGUGGAGGAGGCAUUGCCUGAUGCACCUGGUGUGGAGGAUGAGGUUCUAUCUCCUGGAUACGUCCAGCACAAUAAUGAUGAAGGAGAUGCAGCAGAUAAAGAGUACAUUCCUGUAGAAUUUUCAGAUGCAGAUGAUGAUGAGAAGCAAGAGGAUGUUGAGAUGGGAGUUUUUGAAGAUGCAGAAGAGGACAGACCUGUAAAGAUGUAUGGCAGGGAAAAUCCAUGUAUUGAUGAAGGUGUGGUAUUCCCUAGUGUAGAUGACUGCAGAAAUGCAGUUUCAAGCUUCUCAAUCAAGUCUGAAAUUGAGUUCCUUACUCUGAAAAGUGAUCCAACAAGCCCUAGGAAAAAUUAUAAAAGGGCAGCAGCAAGAGGAGCUUCUCCCAGGUGUGUCAAGCAGAAAACUGUUGUGGAACAGGAGCAAGAAAGCAGUGUUCAAAGCAAAGAUUUCUCUCCAAAAAGAGCAGCAGCAACAGUUGAAGCUCCAAACCCAUCAAAGAACACUAGAAGCAAGGCAAUGCUAGCUCCAAACCCAGCCAAGAACACCAGGAGCAAGAAACUUAAGUUCUAG